AAAAUAAAUAAUUUCCUAAAACAAUUACAGAACCUAAUAACUGUUGUAGACUUUUUAGGAAAAUAAUUACGUAAAUAUAUAACUUAAAGAUAACAAUUACUCAUCAAAUCUUUUUUUUUUUGUUAAUAUUGUAUCAUAACAAGACCUAAAUCAAUGGACUACUUAUUCUCUAUAUAUAAGUGAGGUUAUUUAGUCAUCAAAUCAAUGUGCAUGGUUCCACUCUCGCCGUCCCUCAGCUCUGCAAAUCAUUUGCUUCAUUUUCUACAUGUCUUGGACUAAGCCUCACGUUGAAUUGAGGAGCUUCCCAGUGUAUUCGGAAACUGGUCCUUCUACGUUACCUUAAUCUACAUGUUUUUGUGUUUGGACAAAUGAGGAAAUGAUUCUGAUUUUUAUUUUUUUGGUAUAUUGGUUCAUGUUUGAGUGUGAAAAUAUUUGCAGGGUUAACCAUAAUCCGUUGUAGCUUCUUAAUAUUGAUUUGGA